rnacentral:rRNA from 1 species
AGCGGGGGAUAACUAUUGGAAACGAUAGCUAAUACCGCAUAACAAUGGAUGACACAUGUCAUUUAUUUGAAAGGGGCAAUUGUUCCACUACAAGAUGGACCUGCGUUGUAUUAGCUAGUAGGUGAGGUAAUGGCUCACCUAGGCGACGAUACAUAGCCGACCUGAGAGGGUGAUCGGCCACACUGGGACUGAGACACGGCCCAGACUCCUACGGGAGGCAGCAGUAGGGAAUCUUCGGCAAUGGGGGCAACCCUGACCGAGCAACGCCGCGUGAGUGAAGAAGGUUUCGGAUGUCGACGCGGCCG